ensembl:lncRNA
AUGGCUGGAGUCACUGAUGAUCCUCCGGGAUUUCCUUAUACACCGCCUGGUGUAGAUGUCCUGGAGGGAGGGAAGCUCACCUCCAACAAUGUGGCUGGCAGUUCGCACGACCCUUUUCAGAGCUUUGCGGUUGCCAGCGGUACUGUUUCCAAACCAGGCAGUGAUGCAGCCCGUCAGGAUGCUCUCUAUAGUGCAGGUGUAGAACGAUCUGAGGAUGCUGGGGCUCAUUCCAAACUUCCUCAGCCAUCUCAGGAAGAAGAGGCGUUGAUGUGCCUUCUUCAGCACUGCAUCAGUGUGUGUAGACCAGGUGAGAUCUUCACUGAUGUUAACACCGAGGAACUUGAAGCUGCUUACCCGCUCCACAGGUGUCUUGUCGAUGGUGAUGGGUGUGUGUUCUCUGCUCUGUCUCGAUUAGUCAGGGUGCUCACCUCCUCUCUGUAG